rnacentral:rRNA from 1 species
UGGGGGAUUUUGCACAAUGGGCGCAAGCCUGAUGCAGCGACGCCGCGUGAGGGAUGAAGGCCUUCGGGUUGUAAACCUCUUUCGCUGGGUUGAAAGGCCAUGCUUUGUGUGUGGUUGAUUUGAACUGGUAAAGAAGUACCGGCUAACUACGUGCCAGCAGCCGCGGUAAUACGUAGGGUACUAGCGUUGUCCGGAUUUAUUGGGCGUAAAGGGCUUGUAGGUGGUUUGUCGCGUCUGUCGUGAAAUCCUGUGGCUUAACCAUGGGCUUGCGGUGGGUACGGGCAGGCUUGAGUGCGGUAGGGGAGACUGGAAUUCCUGGUGUAGCGGUGGAAUGCGCAGAUAUCAGGAGGAACACCGGUGGCGAAGGCGGGUCUCUGGGCCGUUACUGACACUGAGGAGCGAAAGCGUGGGGAGCGAACAGG